UCCUGGUAGCUCAGACGGUAAAGGAUCUGCCUGCAGUGCAGAAGACCCAGGUUCGAUCCCUGGGUCGGGAA
rnacentral:tRNA from 1 species